UACAGAGGUCUCAAGCGUUGUUCGGAUUCAUUGGGCGUAAAGGGUGCGUAGGCGGCGCGGUAAGUCGGGUGUGAAAUUUCGAGGCUUAACUUCGAAACUGCAUUCGAUACUGCCCGUGCUUGAGGACUGGAGAGGAGACUGGAAUUUACGGUGUAGCGGUGAAAUGCGUAGAUAUCGUAAGGAAGACCAGUGGCGAAGGCGGGUCUCGUGGACAGUUCCUGACGCUGAGGCACGAAGGCCAGGGGAGCAAACGGG
rnacentral:rRNA from 1 species